rnacentral:rRNA from 1 species
AUUUGACCUCAAAUCAGGUAGGAGUACCCGCUGAACUUAAGCAUAUCAAUAAGCGGAGGAAAAGAAAAUAACAAUGAUUCCCCUAGUAACUGCGAGUGAAGAGGGACAAGCUCAAAUUUUAAAUCUGUUAGGUUUACCUAACCGAGUUGUAAUUUGAAGAGGCGUUUUCUGUGUUUCUGAUCAGCCCAAGUCCUUUGGGAUAGGGCAUCAUGGAGGGUGAGAAUCCCGUUCGGUUGGUCAGAUUCGCUUUACGAUACGUCAUCUAAGAGUCAAGUUGUUUGGGAUUGCAGCUUAAAAUGGGAGGUAAAUUUCUCCUAAGGCUAAAUAACGGCGAGAGACCGAUAGCGAACAAGUACCGUGAGGGAAAGAUGAAAAGAACUUUGAAAAGAGAGUUAAACAGUACGUGAAAUUGUUGAAAGGGAAACGAUUGAAGCCAGUCGUACCUUCGGGUAAUCAGCCUUUCGGGUGCGAUUCUGUGGAGCGUGAGGAGUUAAACGCCUUCAUGCCUGCAUAUUCGUGCACUUUGGGUGUACUUGCCCGUGUGGUAGGUUAACAUCAAUUUCGGAUAUCAUAAAAUGGCUGGAGGAAUGUAGCUUCGGUCUCGUACUGAAGUGUUAUAGCCUCUGGUAGAUGUGAUGACCGGGAUUGAGGAUUGCAACGAAUACCUUUUGGGCUACCCGCCUGAUCUCUGAAAGUUGCUCUGGUGCCGAAAGCUUGCUUACGGUUAUCAAAGUUGACGUUCAAAAGGUUAGAACGGGUUAAAUUCGUUAAGGAUGUUGACGUAAUGGCUUUAAACGACCCGUCUUGAAACACGGACCAAGGAGUCUAACAUAUAUGCGAGUGUUC